UGCAGUCUGCAACUCGAGUGCAUGAAGCUGGAAUCGCUAGUAAUCGCGGAUCAGAAUGCCGCGGUGAAUACGUUCCCGGGUCUUGUACACACCGCCCGUCACACCAUGGGAGUCGGGAAUGCCCGAAGCCGGUGGCCCGAUCGAGAGAAGGGAGCCGUCGAAGGCAGGCCGGAUGACUGGGGUGAAGUCGUAACAAGGUACC
rnacentral:rRNA from 1 species